UACGUAGGGUGCGAGCGUUGUCCGGAAUUACUGGGCGUAAAGAGCUCGUAGGUGGUUUGUCGCGUUGUUCGUGAAAACUCGAGCUCAACCUCGAGACGCCGGUGGAAACCAUCAGACUAGAGUCCGGAAGAGGAGAGUGGAAUUCCUGGUGUAGCGGUGAAAUGCGCAGAUAUCAGGAAGAACACCCGUGGCUAAGGCGGCUCUCUAGUACGGUACUGACGCUGAGACGCGAAAGCGUGGGGAGCGAACAGG
rnacentral:rRNA from 1 species